rnacentral:rRNA from 1 species
ACGAACGCUGGCAGCAGGCCUAACACAUGCAAGUCGAGCGAGGACUUCGGUCCUAGCGGCGGACGGGUGAGUAACGCGUGGGAACGUGCCCUUUGCUUCGGAAUAGCCCUGGGAAACUGGGAGUAAUACCGGAUGAGCCCUUUGGGGGAAAGAUUUAUCGGCGAAGGAUCGGCCCGCGUUGGAUUAGGUAGUUGGUGGGGUAAUGGCCUACCAAGCCGACGAUCCAUAGCUGGUUUGAGAGGAUGAUCAGCCACACUGGGACUGAGACACGGCCCAGACUCCUACGGGAGGCAGCAGUGGGGAAUCUUAGACAAUGGGGGAAACCCUGAUCUAGCCAUGCCGCGUGAGCGAUGAAGGCCUUAGGGUUGUAAAGCUCUUUCAGCUGGGAAGAUAAUGACGGUACCAGCAGAAGAAGCCCCGGCUAACUCCGU